UAACCAGACUUCCAUUGGAAAGUCCGGCAUUUUACAAAAACAUAUACGUAUAUAUAUAUAUAUAUAUAUAUAUAUAUAUAUAUAAAUAAAAAAAUAUCGACCUUUGAAAAAUUCUUUCAUAAAAUGAGCUUCGGUGUGUCUGUGAGAAGAUUCUAUGGUAAUACCUCGCUAUUAAGCUACUCAACAAGUAGAGUGUCUCGAUAUAGCCAAACCCAACAAGGCAGAAGUUCAGUUAGCGAUCGAUGCUAAGUGCAAUUACAGCGUAAUCUUAGCCGUACCGAGUUUUUUCCUAAUAGUUUACCAACACAUCUGAGGUAAACGUUGAUAUUCCUGAGUGUAGCGUUUUCAUUACUUUAUUAGCUAGAUAUUUCAUUAGCUAUUGUCUAUAUUUCGCAGUUGCCUAGCAACAGCGUUCUCACAAAGUGAAUUGAAUUUUUUUACGAUGUGAAUAUCGAGCGUUCUGUUUGUUCGGCUACCGACGUUCACGGAUUCCGUACAAACGUUCCGUUAUCUUUAAAAGUUGUGACACAACUUUGACUAAAAUCGUGACAUAAGUUAGGUUAGCAGUGGAAGCGAAGCGUAAUUACUGUGUACUGUUAACCGUUCUGAGCUUUUUCUUAGUGAUUCGCCAAAACAGCCGAGGGAAAUGUUGACGUUCCGAGGCCUUUCCUAGCCUUUAAUCGGCAUCCAGUUGCCUAGCAACAGUGUUCUCAACAUCUCACAACCAUGUGCAGUCGCAACGUUGACUAAAAUUACACUGUAAUUACGCUUAGCAUCGACCCUUAACCGAACACAGUCAUCGUUUCACCGCAGCGAGAAACCAAGUGUGGAUAGUUUGAUUAGCGCUCGAUGCUAAGUGUAAAUAAAGCGUCGUUUUAUUCCUAUGAAAACUUUUCUUAAGAAUCUACCAACACUCCUGAGGUAAAUGUUGACAUUUCCGAGACCUGCGUGUCAUUUUCAGUCUCUCUAUGCCUUUACAUUGUCCAUAAGAAAGACCGCAUCUUGUUAAUCAGCUUAUACGAGGUGUCCAUAUUUUCCAGUUGCCUAGCAACCGUGUUCUUACAACUUUACAUCACGGGAAAGCAAACACAACGACACGCUUUUGAAUUGUUAUUUUUCGUUAAAAAUGGAGUCGUAGGAAUUCCGCUCACAUUUUAAGAGUUGAACGUUCCCCAUGUUGAGUUCAGCUAGCGGUUGAUGCUAAGUGUAAUUUUGGUCAAACGGAGUCCUUUAUUAGCAAUUCACCAGCACGUCUGAGGGAAAUGUUGCUCUUCUGAACAUUUCUACACCACUUUCACCAUCGAUAUCUUCCCACUGUCUGUAUGAAUGACUACAUAUAAGCUAGAUAAACACGUUCGACUCAGGAAUUAGCUACCUCGUGCUUACGAUGCUUAUGAUACGCAGUUCUGUUGCCGAGCAACGGUGUUCGCGCAGUUUUAACCACUGGAACGGCGAGAAUAUCGUGUGUUUGCCUUCCAAACGUCAAGUGAAAAAUGAAUUCACACCUUAAGAUUUGAAAGCGCUAUAGGCUGGACAUAUUAAAAAAAAAAAAAACUUCUGACAGAAACUUCCAGAGUGUGAUUUUUUUUUUUUUUUUACUUUUGCUCUAAAACAAAUUUGAUGAGUUAUUGUGUAUGACUUGGGAUGAAUGUGAAUUAUAGGUAAUAAGUCAGAUAUGUUCAUGGAUCUACAUUCUUUUCUUUUUUUUUUUUUUUACACGAUCACUGCCAUCUGAGGUCAUCAGUGUGCGCCUCAGACUCCUCCCACUCCCGGGCUCAAAAUUUCCUUCACCAGCCGGCUUCCAGACUGAAACUCCGAGUCUACGCAGCGUUUCAAAGCGGCUGUCCCGAGCCUCCCUGCAUGAGGAACAUGUUAAUGAAUUGGAUGAGGAUGCUGGGAGCUCGCUGGGAGUCUCGCGCCGUGAAGGAUAACCACUUGUAGACGAUCAUGAAGACCAGGUAGCCGAAAAGACAGAGCAGGAAGAGCAGCUCGGGCAGGAAGACCAGGAUCCAGAACUCAACUGCGGCUUUUAAGCGACUUACAGGUGGUUAAAGACGCCCAGGAUGACACCGAAGGACAUGUGAACGAUCCCCAAAAUCACGGACAUCUUCAUCUUAUAGGAGUUCAGGAACGACCAUCCAGAAGGCGAAGAGGAACAUGAUGAGCCCGUGGCCGAGGUCUCCGAACAUCACAGCGAACAGGAAGGGGAAGGUGAUGAUGGUGUACGGAGCUGCGAGAGACGAGUGCAUGAGGAUCAUCGUCAACCCAGAGCUCUAAUUUAACUACUUCAUGACCCAAACCAGUUAAAGCAGCCCACUCCGUAGGCGUCCACUAUAUUCUGAAACCCGGAGGUGAACUUAUUGGUCCGUAUGAGCGUGGGCGGAGUGUCGUUACUGGGAAUGCGAUUGACGAACGAAGGAACCGUUGCACCACUUUUUCUCUGAAAAAGCAAAAACAGGAAACGGAGUCAAGAUGAGUAACACUUCUAUAUAUAUGGAAACACAACGACUACACAACGCAGUACAGAGCCGUGAUGAGGUGAAAAAAUUGCAUGUCAGGAAGUUGGGGUCAGAGCGCAGAGUCAGCCAUGAUACAGCGCCCCCUGGAGCAGAGAGGGUUAAGGGUUAAGGCUCAAGGGCCCAAUAGUGGCAGCCUGGGGCUUGAACCCCUGACCUUCCAAUCAGUCACCCAGAGCCUUAACCGCCAAGCCACCACUGCCCCAUAUGCAUACCCAAUUACCUGGUUAGCUGAGCACAUGAUUUGUAGCUGAAUACUUUUAUCUAGCAAGUUGCCAUACUCUUUAAUUUGCAUAUCAGUUGUGAUUGGUCCAAAGCCGUUGAAAUUAUUUAGUGACACAAAAACAGAUUUUUUUUUCUUCUCAGUUUUGUUGCUUUGUUAACAAAUUUCCCGAAUUCUAUGUAAACCUAAUCAGAAAAUAAAAAUAUUUAAUAAAAUAACAUAAAUGAGAGAAUAUUUAUAGAAUAACACAAUGUUUCUGUCACUGUUGAAAUUUUGAGGCUAAACAUUUUGGUUGUUUUUAAGUCGUACGUAGUCAUCCGCUACAGACAAGUAAUUUACAUAUCCGAUGCGAUUGGUCCAAAGCCGGAAUGCCGCUUCAGACUCACCGAGCCU